GUGAAUUUAGAGCGUAACUUCGGUUAGCUCAACCUUCAUUUUCCAACUCUGUGCACUAUUGGCGGACUGGGAGUAAGAAAUUACUAUUCAGUCUGCGGCUCACUAUUAAACAUUAGUUAAAGUAUGUAUAUAAAAAUAAAACAAAAAA
rnacentral:misc_RNA from 1 species